rnacentral:rRNA from 1 species
CACUUAUCUUUGAUUCUUCGGAUGAAGAGGUUUGUGACUGAGUGGCGGACGGGUGAGUAACGCGUGGGUAACCUGCCUUGUACAGGGGGAUAACAGUUGGAAACGGCUGCUAAUACCGCAUAAGACCACAGCACCGCAUGGUGCAGGGGUAAAAACUCCGGUGGUAUGAGAUGGACCCGCGUCUGAUUAGGUAGUUGGUGGGGUAACGGCCUACCAAGCCGACGAUCAGUAGCCGACCUGAGAGGGUGACCGGCCACAUUGGGACUGAGACACGGCCCAAACUCC